GUUGUCGGCAUUCAUAUGGGUAUUAACUGUGCACCUCUACAGAUUUCAAUAAAAUAUGAUAACAUUAAAAAAAAAGGUACCUCUACUUAUUUUCAUAUGAGUUGGAGUUCUUCAGACACUUGCCAAACACUAGAAAACAGAAGAAGUCAUUUAAUUUCACAUUCAGAUAUAUUGAUGAUAUUCUUUCCAUCUAAACAAUCUAAACUUUUCUGAUUGGAUUCCAUUAAUA
rnacentral:lncRNA from 1 species